UUAUUUUUUGUGUGUUGAAAGGCAUUGGUAUACAAGUGUCCAAAAUAAAUUUAUUUUGGACACUUGUAUACCAAUGCCUUUCAACACACAAAAAAUAAAGGAAAUCU
rnacentral:miRNA from 1 species